rnacentral:rRNA from 1 species
ACGGAGGGUGCAAGCGUUGUUCGGAAUUACUGGGCGUAAAGAGCGUGUAGGCGGUUUGGCAAGUCAGAUGUGAAAGCCCUGGGCUCAACCCAGGAAGUGCAUUUGAAACUGCCAUCCUUGAGUAUGGGAGAGGAGAGUGGAAUUCCCAAUGUAGAGGUGAAAUUCGUAGAUAUUGGGAGGAACACCCGUGGCGAAGGCGACUCUCUGGACCAAUACUGACGCUGAGACGCGAAAGCGUGGGGAGCAAACAGG